GACGAACGCUGGCGGCGUGCUUAACACAUGCAAGUCGAACGGAAAGGCCCUGCUUUUGUGGGGUGCUCGAGUGGCGAACGGGUGAGUAACACGUGAGUAACCUGCCCUUGACUUUGGGAUAACUUCAGGAAACUGGGGCCAAUACCGGAUAGGAGCUCCUGCUGCAUGGUGGGGGUUGGAAAGUUUCGGCGGUUGGGGAUGGACUCGCGGCUUAUCAGCUUGUUGGUGGGGUAGUGGCUUACCAAGGCUUUGACGGGUAGCCGGCCUGAGAGGGUGACCGGCCACAUUGGGACUGAGAUACGGCCCAGACUCCUACGGGAGGCAGCAGGGGGGAAUAUUGCACAAUGGGCGGAAGCCUGAUGCAGCAACGCCGCGUGCGGGAUGACGGCCUUCGGGUUGUAAACCGCUUUCGCCUGUGACGAAGCGUGAGUGACGGUAAUGGGUAAAGAAGCACCGGCUAACUACGUG
rnacentral:rRNA from 1 species